rnacentral:rRNA from 1 species
UACGAAGGGGGCUAGCGUUGCUCGGAAUCACUGGGCGUAAAGGGUGCGUAGGCGGACUCUUAAGUCGGUGGUGAAAUCCUGGAGCUCAACUCCAGAACUGCCUUCGAUACUGGGAGUCUCGAGUCCGGGAGAGGUGAGUGGAACUGCGAGUGUAGAGGUGAAAUUCGUAGAUAUUCGCAAGAACACCAGUGGCGAAGGCGGCUCACUGGCCCGGUACUGACGCUGAGGUGCGAAAGCGUGGGGAGCAAACAGG